CCUGGCUCAGGAUGAACGCUAGCUACAGGCUUAACACAUGCAAGUCGAGGGGCAGCAUGGUCUUAGCUUGCUAAGGCCGAUGGCGACCGGCGCACGGGUGAGUAACACGUAUCCAACCUGCCGUCUACUCUUGGACAGCCUUCUGAAAGGAAGAUUAAUACAAGAUGGCAUCAUGAGUCCGCAUGUUCACAUGAUUAAAGGUAUUCCGGUAGACGAUGGGGAUGCGUUCCAUUAGAUAGUAGGCGGGGUAACGGCCCACCUAGUCUUCGAUGGAUAGGGGUUCUGAGAGGAAGGUCCCCCACAUUGGAACUGAGACACGGUCCAAACUCCUACGGGAGGCAGCAGUGAGGAAUAUUGGUCAAUGGGCGAGAGCCUGAACCAGCCAAGUAGCGUGAAGGAUGACUGCCCUAUGGGUUGUAAACUUCUUUUAUAAAGGAAUAAAGUCGGGUAUGGAUACCCGUUUGCAUGUACUUUAUGAAUAAGGAUCGGCUAACUCCGUGCCAGCAGCCGCGGUAAUACGGAGGAUCCGAGCGUUAUCCGGAUUUAUUGGGUUUAAAGGGAGCGUAGAUGGAUGUUUAAGUCAGUUGUGAAAGUUUGCGGCUCAACCGUAAAAUUGCAGUUGAUACUGGAUAUCUUGAGUGCAGUUGAGGCAGGCGGAAUUCGUGGUGUAGCGGUGAAAUGCUUAGAUAUCACGAAGAACUCCGAUUGCGAAGGCAGCCUGCUAAGCUGCAACUGACAUUGAGGCUCGAAAGUGUGGGUAUCAAACAGGAUUAGAUACCCUGGUAGUCCACACGGUAAACGAUGAAUACUCGCUGUUUGCGAUAUACAGCAAGCGGCCAAGCGAAAGCGUUAAGUAUUCCACCUGGGGAGUACGCCGGCAACGGUGAAACUCAAAGGAAUUGACGGGGGCCCGCACAAGCGGAGGAACAUGUGGUUUAAUUCGAUGAUACGCGAGGAACCUUACCCGGGCUUAAAUUGCAGAUGAAUUACGGUGAAAGCCGUAAGCCGCAAGGCAUCUGUGAAGGUGCUGCAUGGUUGUCGUCAGCUCGUGCCGUGAGGUGUCGGCUUAAGUGCCAUAACGAGCGCAACCCUUGUUGUCAGUUACUAACAGGUUCCGCUGAGGACUCUGACAAGACUGCCAUCGUAAGAUGUGAGGAAGGUGGGGAUGACGUCAAAUCAGCACGGCCCUUACGUCCGGGGCUACACACGUGUUACAAUGGGGGGUACAGAGGGCCGCUACCACGCGAGUGGAUGCCAAUCCCCAAAACCUCUCUCAGUUCGGACUGGAGUCUGCAACCCGACUCCACGAAGCUGGAUUCGCUAGUAAUCGCGCAUCAGCCACGGCGCGGUGAAUACGUUCCCGGGCCUUGCACACAC
rnacentral:rRNA from 1 species